UACGGGGGGGCAAGCGUUGUUCGGAAUUACUGGGCGUAAAGGGUGCGUAGGCGGUCCGCUAAGUUGGAUGUGAAAACUCUGGGCUUAACCCAGAGCCUGCAUUCAAAACUGACGGGCUAGAGUUCUGGAGGGGGUAGCGGAAUUCCUGGUGUAGCGGUGAAAUGCGUAGAUAUCAGGAGGAACACCGGUGGCGAAGGCGGCUACCUGGACAGAAACUGACGCUGAGGCACGAAAGCUAGGGGAGCAAACAGG
rnacentral:rRNA from 1 species